rnacentral:misc_RNA from 1 species
ACAAAAUUAGAUUUUUUUAUUUUAUAAUUAAAUCGAAAAUUAGUUUAAACUCUUUUUUUAAGAGUUUAUUCUUCCACAUUAUGUGAACUGUAUUAUUGUUAAAUUUUCUUUAGGAAUUAAAUUUUUUUUUGAAAAAUAAAAGAGAUUUUUAAUUUAUUUUAAACUAGAGAAAAUAUUUUUUAUAUUAAACUUUCUAGAUUAAUUUUUUGUCUUUAAAUUUUUUAAAUAAUUUUAAUUUAAAA